UUAUAUUGGUUCGUUAUAUAUUAAUAAUAUUAUAAAAAGCGCCUAAAUUGCGUUUUAUCGAAUUAUAACCCCUAUUUAUUUUUUUCCAAACCGGGAAACGAUUUCGGUAUAAUGGGGAUAUAAAUAAACGAUAUGCUAAAUUUGGGGAACCAGGAAUUUAUUAAAAAAAAAUAACGAAAAUUCGAAAAAACAGGUUUCCAAACCAAAUUACAAAUAAUUGUAAAAUUAGGGAAUAAAUAAAAUUUUAACGGUUAUCGAAUUAAAUUGCACGAAAGCGGUUUAAAAAUUCGUUAAAAAAACCAAAUAAAUAAAUUGGAAACGGUAAAACCGGAUUAAAUUGGAUCCAAAUACGAAUUUGUCGUUUAAAAAACGCGAAAAACGUACGUUGCGUUAAUUUGUUAACCGGAAACGGCGUUUAAUUUCGCCGCAACGGUGCAAAUAAUAACGUCGGACAAAAAAAAUUACGAAUUUAUAAAUAAAUAUAUAAAUUGGCAAUUGGAAAACGCGUAAAAAAAAUUUUCCUACAUUCCCGUAAAUUUUAAAAAGGCGAAAUUGUUCGUAUUUGUCGACGGUUUUUUUGCGAAUAAUAAAAAUUUAAAUUCGCAAAUCGGUUUUGUUAUUAUAUUGGGCAAUAAAAAUUCCGACGAACAGGAAACGGAUUUUCGCGUUACCGGUAAUAUUUUAUAUUGGGUAUUAAAUAAAUAUUACAAAAUAACAAAAAACGUGUUAAUUAAUAAGAUUUAUGGUAUAAUAAACGGGUUUAAUAUAAAAUUUGUAUUGAAAAUUGCUAUUGUUAUUAUUAUAAACCUGUUAAAUUUACCUUUUAUAUUUAUAAUUGUGUGCACCGAUAAUUUAUCGCUGUAUUAAUAUUUGGUGCAAUUGGGAACGAUUUUGGAAAAACAAUUUAUAAUUAAUUUUUUAAAUUUAAAAUAAUUGUACGAAAAUAGGGAAAUUGACGAAAUUCGGUGGAUUUUUGGGGAAAUUAACCCAAUUAAUAUAAUAA
rnacentral:sRNA from 1 species